rnacentral:rRNA from 1 species
CACCGCGGGUUAUUGUCUUAGUAGCGGCGAGUGAAGCGGCAAAAGCUCAAAUUUGAAAUCUGGCGCCUUCGGUGUCCGAGUUGUAAUUUGAAGAUUGUAACCUUGGGGUUGGCUCUUGUCUAUGUUUCUUGGAACAGGACGUCACAGAGGGUGAGAAUCCCGUGCGAUGAGAUGCCCAAUUCUAUGUAAGGUGCUUUCGAAGAGUCGAGUUGUUUGGGAAUGCAGCUCUAAGUGGGUGGUAAAUUCCAUCUAAAGCUAAAUAUUGGCGAGAGACCGAUAGCGAACAAGUACAGUGAUGGAAAGAUGAAAAGAACUUUGAAAAGAGAGUGAAAAAGUACGUGAAAUUGUUGAAAGGGAAGGGUUUGAGAUCAGACUCGAUAUUUUGUGAGCCUUGCCUUCGUGGCGGGGUGACCCGCAGCUUAUCGGGCCAGCAUCGGUUUGGGCGGUAGGAUAAUGGCGUAGGAAUGUGACUUUACUUCGGUGAAGUGUUAUAGCCUGCGUUGAUGCUGCCUGCCUAGACCGAGGACUGCGAUUUUAUCAAGGAUGCUGGCAUAAUGAUCCCAAACCGCCCGUCUUGAACCACGGAC